rnacentral:misc_RNA from 1 species
AGUGCUAUUAAGGCGAAAGGCGACGCCUUAUAUAUAUAUAUUGCAUAAGAAACCAAAUAAAAUAUUUAAAUAGGAAUUAUGUUUAUUCAUCCAUUAACUUAUGCCAUAAAUUAUAAUAUAAGGUUGAUAUUAAUUUGAUUUGUUAGCAUAGAUAUAAAUGUAGCGUAGAAUAUCAUAAUUAUUCCUUGGUAUGUCCAAUCAUACUCAAUAAUUACAUCCAAUGAAAGAUCCUCACUGUCAUCACUAACCGUUAAUCUUUCUGAGAUUGCAUGGAAUCUUGAAGACA